GUGGGGAAUUUUGGACAAUGGGCGCAAGCCUGAUCCAGCAAUGCCGCGUGCAGGAAGAAGGCCUUCGGGUUGUAAACUGCUUUUGUACGGAACGAAACGGUCCUGGCUAAUAUCCGGGGCUAAUGACGGUACCGUAAGAAUAAGCACCGGCUAACUACGUGCCAGCAGCCGCGGUAAUACGUAGGGUGCGAGCGUUAAUCGGAAUUACUGGGCGUAAAGCGUGCGCAGGCGGUGCUGUAAGACAGGCGUGAAAUCGCCGGGCGCAACCUAGGAAUUGCGCUUGUGACUGCAGUGCUGGAGUGCAGCAGAGGGGGAUGGAAUUCCGCGUGUAGCAGUGAAAUGCGUAGAUAUGCGGAGGAACACCGAUGGCGAAGGCAAUCCCCUGGGCCUGCACUGACGCUCAUGCACGAAAGCGUGGGGAGCAAACAGGAUUAGAAACCCCAGUAGUCC
rnacentral:rRNA from 1 species